rnacentral:rRNA from 1 species
ACCUCAAAUCAGGUAGGACUACCCGCU